rnacentral:rRNA from 1 species
ACCCUUCGGGGUACUCGAGCGGCGAACGGGUGAGUAACACGUGAGCAACCUGCCCCUGACUCUGGGAUAAGCCUGGGAAACUGGGUCUAAUACCGGAUAGUACCCCCUGUUUCAUGGUGGGGGGUGGAAAGUUUUUCGGUUGGGGAUGGGCUCGCGGCCUAUCAGCUUGUUGGUGGGGUGAUGGCCUACCAAGGCGACGACGGGUAGCCGGCCUGAGAGGGCGACCGGCCACACUGGGACUGAGACACGGCCCAG